AUUGAACGCUGGCGGCAUGCUUUACACAUGCAAGUCGAACGGCAGCGCGGGCUUCGGCCUGGUGGCGCGUGGCGAACGGGUGAGUAAUACAUCGGAACGUGCCCAGCAGUGGGGGAUAGCUCGGCGACAGCCGGAUUAAUACCGCAUACGACCUGAGGGUGAAAGCGGGGGAUCUUUGGACCUCGCGCUAUUGGAGGGGCCGAUGGCAGAUUAGCUAGUUGGUGGGGUAAAGGCCUACCAAGGCGACGAUCUGUAGCUGGUCUGAGAGGACGACCAGCCACACUGGAACUGAGACACGGCCCAGACUCCUACGGGAGGCAGCAGUGGGGAAUUUUGGACAAUGGGCGAAAGCCUGAUCCAGCAAUGCCGCGUGUGUGAUGAAGGCCUUCGGGUUGUAAAGCACUUUUGGCGGGAACGAAAAGGACUGUGCCAAUACCACGGUUCGAUGACGGUACCCGCAGAAUAAGCACCGGCUAACUACGUG
rnacentral:rRNA from 1 species